rnacentral:rRNA from 1 species
UACGUAGGGUGCGAGCGUUGUCCGGAAUUAUUGGGCGUAAAGAGCUCGUAGGCGGCUUGUUGCGUCGGAUGUGAAAGCCCGGGGCUUAACUCCGGGUCGGCAUUCGAUACGGGCAGGCUAGAGUUCGGUAGGGGAGAUCGGAAUUCCUGGUGUAGCGGUGAAAUGCGUAGAUAUCUGGAGGAACACCGGUGGCGAAGGCGGCGUUCUGGACUGCAACUGACACUGAAAAACGAAAGCCAGGGGAGCAAACGGG